rnacentral:lncRNA from 1 species
CACCCUUCCGCCACUUUGAAGCAGCAUAGCAGGAUUCAGGAGGGAUUAUUAUUAUUAUAUACUAAAAUAUAUUAUAUAGUUAUGUAUAUAGUUUAGACAUCAGUUGUUUCCAUGUUCUCACUUCACUUCUGGACUCAAUGUAUCACUUACCUGUUCUUGGUUCUAGUUUUUUGGUAAUCAUCCUGAAAUGUGCUUGUCUAAGUAUCAUUCAUCUUGCUGGAGCAGCACAGUCUAAACUGCUUCUGGUAUUAAGACCUGACAUUUCAACAAUUUUAGAUAGUCUCAUAUUCAGUUUUCCAAUACUUGCUGACCCCACAAUUCUGUCUGAAGUAGGAUGUCAAAAGAAUGAAAAUUAGUUCAUUACAAUCCUCCACAGACCCCACUCACUAUUUUAUAAUGUUGUAUUUCAUAUAUUUUUAGGAAAUUGUUUACGCAGGCUAUUCCUGUUCUAUUUUUACUGAAGUCAUGCCUAUGGUAGCAUAUUUUAGGACACAUAUGUCCUCUGUGGUAGGCAUAUGUAUCCUAUAAUAUGAAAAUUAUAAUUAGAAUUUUUCAAAAUUCUGAAUAUUAAUUCUCUUUGUAAAUUUAAAUUACAUAAUUCCAUUCUUUUAUGUAUCACUGAAGAUGAC